rnacentral:rRNA from 1 species
AACGAACGCUGGCGGCAUGCCUAACACAUGCAAGUCGAACGAGACCUUCGGGUCUAGUGGCGCACGGGUGCGUAACGCGUGGGAACCUGCCCUUAGGUUCGGAAUAAAUCCCCGAAAGGGGUGCUAAUACCGGAUAAUGUCUUCGGACCAAAGAUUUAUCGCCUUUGGAUGGGCCCGCGUUGGAUUAGCUAGUUGGUAGGGUAAAAGCCUACCAAGGCGACGAUCCAUAGCUGGUCUGAGAGGAUGAUCAGCCACACUGGGACUGAGACGCGGCCCAGACUCCUACGGGAGGCAGCAGUGGGGAAUAUUGGACAAUGGGCGAAAGCCUGAUCCAGCAAUGCCGCGUGAGUGAUGAAGGCCUUAGGGUUGUAAAGCUCUUUUACCCGGGAUGAUAAUGACAGUACCGGGAGAAUAAGCUCCGGCUAACUCCGUG